GGUUCCAUGGUGUAGUGGAUAGCAUUCAGGACUUCGGAUCCUGAGACCCGAGUUCGAAUCUUGGUGGAACCG
rnacentral:tRNA from 1 species